CUGUGUGAAGCCAGAAUGAUCCUUGUGGAUCCCUUCCAACUCAGGAUGUUCUAUGAUUCUAUGAUUCAGAGAAUAUUGCCAGAAAGGUGUGGAGAGGAUGAUGGAUAAAUAUCAAUGCAAAUCGUGUCUUGUUACUUCUUGAAAUAACCUUGAAGAAUAACCUUGAAGAAUAACCUUCUUGUUACCUUGAAAUAAUAUGCCAGUUAAUAAGAGAAUUAAUCAGCUGAAAAGUUGUUCUGUGGUCCCAGGAAGAAUUAGUGAAAACACAUAUAUUCACAGUCUUAAAGAAAACAGGAAAAUCUGGUACAGCAUCGGACUUCAAUCACAGUGCCUGGAGCUGUCUUCUAUGAAAAUCUCUCUCCAGACAUUGUGCUUCUGUUUUUUGAACUUGCUAUUAAAUGAAGCAUGUCAGGAAUCUAUUUUAACUAAAAUACAAAUGUCCUGAUAAAUUGGACAUUAUUGUGAUGGGAACGUUUCCAACACGAAACUCUCACAAAUCCAAACCUAUUCAAUAGCCCACAGCCAGUAUUUGUUGAAAACAUGUUCUCAGAACUGAUUUCAAAUCUGCCUCUGUACUGAAAAUGCACUGGAACUGAUCUGAGUGAUGCAAAAGUUUAGUCUUCUUUUAUUAAAUAGCAUUUAGUGAGGAAUUACACAGUUUGUUUUAAUGGGAAACCUAUUUGAUGUUAACAACCUCACAUUUUUCUAAAUGUAUAGGAACAGCUA